CGGGAUGUAGCGCAGUUUGGUAGCGCGCCUGCUUUGGGAGCAGGAUGCCGCAGGUUCGAAUCCUGUCAUCCCGACCA
rnacentral:tRNA from 1 species